AUUGGCCUGUGGCCGCAGCCGUAGCGUUCACUGCGCGGUCCGCCUGACAUCACUGAAUAGACACGUUUUGUACGAGUAUUGCCAGAGAGAAGCUUCUCUCUGGUAUUACAUUAAAUCAAUUUAUACUUUUUUUCCUGAAUUUUCGUCGUAAUGGCUACGAUAUCCUUUCUUGGCGAAGAUAUGAUACUUCACAUCCUACGUACUAAUGAUAUCAGUAUUAAAGACGUAAAUUUUUCCUCUACAUGCAAGCAUUUUCGUGACAUGAUCGAAAGCAGCAACUCAUGUUGGCGAUGGAAAUGCUGUCAGAGAUGGUCUAAGUUGGAAAAAGGUUGUAAAAAAGAGAUGCAUAAAGGUGUUAAAUAUAUAAAUUUUAAAGAAUUAACAAAAGCAGGUAUAAAAUGUGCAAAAGAAUUACGACAUUUUUUAACGCAAAUGAACAGAAAGUUCUAUCACCAAAUUCCAGAGCGGGACAAUAGUGGUUAUAUUGACAUAUAUUAUGAUUAUAGAGAAGAUCCUAGAUUUCAUGAUAUCAAUUACGAUAACAAUUAUAUUAAUAUUAAUGAGGAUAUUCAUUUAUUGAUUCAUCCAGAUGAAACGGCACAUCCUUUGUCGAAUUAUUAUUUUCUUAUAAGUGAAUUAACAAAUUUACUUGAACGAUCAGAGAGCAGCUGUUGGAAGAGGCGGCAACUUUUUUCUCACAAUGGUAUCAACUCAACAAAGACAUCCUUAUUCACGUAUACAGAAGGAACUCGAUAAUAUCACAGAACAAGUGAUGCAGCAAAUUCGAAUUGAACAUCCCACACAUCCAAUAUUUUCGGUACCCCAUGAACAGCUUUCGUUUUGGAAAUACAACAACAUCGAUAAGAAUCAAUUGAACAACAACGAUGGGAAACAAAUUCUAAAUAUCCUUUGCAAGAUUUUAUCUCAACUUUUUCCUUUCGAAAGUUUCCAAGGCUUUUAUAUAGAACAUUCAGCUAAAUGUUGUUAUAGAAAUAGCAAUUUUUAUAUUGAACACGUUCGCAUAGAUUACAAGAAAGAAGUGGUUGUACUCUACCGGUGGCAGUUGUGUACGAAAGUGUUGCAAGAAGACUUGGUCUACUCUGUAAUAUAAUAUACGUCAACUUUGAAUGUUUUUUAAGUUGGAAA
rnacentral:misc_RNA from 1 species